UUCUAACCGUAAACGAUGACAACCAGCGAUUAAUCGGCGUUAAUAUACGACCCGAUUAGCAGCUUCCGGGAAACCAAAGUUUUUCGUUUCCGGGGGAAGUAUGGUUGCAAAGCUGAAACUUAAAGGAAUUGACGGAAGGGCACCACCAGGAGUGGAGCCUGCGGCUUAAUUUGACUCAACACGGGAAAACUCACCCGGCCCGGACACCGUAAGGAUUGACAGACUGAGAGCUCUUUCUUAAUUCGGUGGGUGGUGGUGCAUGGCCGUUCUUAGUUGGUGGAGCGAUUUGUCUGGUUAAUUCCGAUAACGAACGAGACUCUGGCCUAUUAAAUAGACGGUAUAUCAUCUAAGUAUAUCGCACUUCUUAGAGGGACAAGCGGCGUUUAGCCGCAUGAAAUAGAGCAAUAACAGGUCUGUGAUGCCCUUAGAUGUCCGGGGCUGCACGCGCGCUACACUGAAAGAAUCAGAGUGCGCUAUACCUAGUUCGGAAGAACCGGGUAACCCAAGUAAAUUCUUUCGUGCUUGGGAUAGGGAAUUGCAAUUAUUUCCCUUAAACGAGGAAUUCCCAGUAAAUGCGGGUCAUAAGCUCGCGUUG
rnacentral:rRNA from 1 species